rnacentral:lncRNA from 1 species
UUUUUUAUGGAGAACAAAGAGAAUAAUACAUGAAGAAGGUAUAAAUAGUUGUGCGAGCUUGGUGGUAAGGUGGAGGGAGAGGAUCAUGCUAGGAUUGAUUCUUGCAAUUUGUGACACAAAAAAAAACUACUUCCUUUUGCAUGAUUUUAGGUUAUCGAGUAUUACGAUUAGAGAAGUUUUUCCUAGAUUGUUUGCUAUGUCGCUUCAAAAAUCAUAUUGUAGUAUUUAUGAGAUGAGAACAUGGUGGAGAGGUCUUGGAGUUGGGAUUUGAAAUGGCGGAGAAAUUUCUUUGAAUGGAAAAAACAUAUAUUUGAUGAUCUUUGGGCUUGAUUGGGUAAUGCUAAUAAGUGGAUUUGAGUUUUUGAUCAAUUUAGUAUUUUGUUGAUCAAGUACUAAUUAUACUUCUUUCAUAAUAUGAAUGAUUUUUGAACCCUCUUCUUUAUCUUCUUUUUUAGGAGGUAUUGUUUGCAGUUUGGUUGAUCAGGUACUAAU